CUUUGGGCUUCUUUCCAACAGAAGGUGCACCCAGCCCCCCAUGCCCGCUUGGUCUUGACUCCAGGAAAUGACCUGUAGAUUCUAGGAGACAGCUCUUAUUUGUGUAACAUUUUACUGGCCUCACCUGGCUCCAAAGAUAUUUACAAGUGUCAAUAUAAGGCAAAAAGCCCCAGCCAAGCCUUCAGCAUCCCCAGCGAAUGUACUUCAUGCACCCAAACUGAAUAUCUCUCUUGCCUCACCCUAGACCUGGCCCAGGGUAAGACAAGCGAGACAUUUGUCUUGGGUGCAAAUUCCCUCCAACUGGAGGGAAAUAAGUGAAUUCUGCACAGCCUGAUGGAGUCAAGGACAAAGAUUUGGGCAGGAUUUGAGUCUCGGUUGUGCCUAUUACCAUGGACCCUGGGACAAGUCUCUACUUCCUUUUGAUGGACAGUUUCUGUAAAAUGGGCAUGUGAUUCUUACUUUGAGGUCUCAGAAGGUGACUGUGAAGAUCUGAUGAGAUACAGGAUAGGGCUUUACAAGUAGUGAUAUGCAUGCACAGGUAAAGACACAGAUAUUGUAUUCCAAACCUGCAAACAGCUCCCUCUCCUCAAUAUUUUACGGCGCUGCUUGGUGGAUGUGAAUGGACUCUGCACUGUACGUGGGCGUGGACUCCGAGCAGAAGCAGGGGGGUGUUCUCGGGACCCUUGUGGCUGGCCAGUUGUCCUGUCAAAGCAGCUUCUUGCUCCCCAGGGGCCAGAUGCUUGGGAUUCCAAUCAGUGGAUUUAAAUGAAGAAGCUGAGGCUGGGUGCGGUGGCUCACGUCUGUGAUCCCAGCACUUUGGGAGGCUGAGGCGGCAAAUCACCUGAGGUCAGGAGUUCGAGACCAGCCUAGCCAACAUGGCAAAACCCUGUCUCUACUAAAAAUAAAAAAAUUAGCUGGGCAUGGUGGCAUGCAUCUGUAAUCCCAGCUACUGGGGAGGCUGAGGCAGGAGAAUGGCUUGAACCCAGGAGGUGGAGGUUUCAGUGAGCCAAGAUCGCUCCAUUGCACUCCAGCCUGGGCAACAGAGUGAGACUCUGUUUCAAACAAACAAGCAAACAAACCAGGAAAACAAAAACCAAAUUAAAUGAAGGAGCUGGGAUCGAGGUCUGUAAACAGAGCAGGAUCAGGGUAACCCUUUGAGUUCCGCCUGAUCAGAUUCAGAUUUGAGAGUAGUGUCACCACGGCUGAGGAGGCUUCCCAAGGUGACAUGGACUGAGGGAUCAUGUCUCACUUCUGCGUUCUCAACUAGCAGGACUCACUCUUCCAUGGCCUGAGGGCUGCAGAAUGGAGGGGAAACAGAGUCCUGCCCUGGCUUGGGAGUUGGAGACCUGAGUUCCUGCCCUGCCUUGCUAUGAGCCCCACUCUGUGUGGGACCCAGUGUCCUCACGAAUGGAGUCUGUCUUGCGCAGGAGCAGGCAGGCGGCCCACGUAUAAUAAACAGCUGAUCCUCAGAUCAUAGAGGGUAAAGGGUAGGGGUGAAAAUGGAGGGUGCGUGCCCUGCCUGUAAGCACUAAAUUCAAACAUUUAAAGAUGACCGUGCGCUGCUGACCAGGCAGACUUGGCGAGCAGGGUGCCAGUUUGAGAUCCCUCAGCUAGAGGAUUUCUAGGGCCCAGUCUGGUUUGACAGCCCCUCUUCCUACCCACCAUACCUGUGCCUUACCCAUCUCCUGAACUCCUGUCCUUCACAUCCUUACCCAGGAAAAGGCUAAGGAAUGGCCUGGGAAAUGUUUAUUACAUCAAGUGGGGCAUGUAGUGAUACCAUUGAAUAAGUUAUCCUUGAAAGAUGUUUAGUGUUUGGGAGUUUGCAAGCUCAGACCAUUUUUGAAGGGGAAAAAAAAAGUCUUUGUGUUGAAUGUUCAGUUCCUCUGGCGUCCGGAAGGUUCAAACCAGUUCUUUCCAUCCCCUUCAAACAGAUUUCUGUCUCUGUGGGAUGCCCCAAAUGAAGGAACUGGCUUACCUUUCAGAGUCACAGGGUAGAAAAAUAUGUAUGACUUUAAGCCCUAGAGAAGCCUGGAUAGCCAGUGCUCCCCUUGGGGCGGUGUCUGGGGCUGAGAUGGUGGAGGGAGCGCAGAGGCAAGUCUCCCAACCUCAACUCUGAGUGGAACAGCAGGAGCUAUUACCACACCAUUUACAUGUGUUAUGCCUCUGUCUGUGCAAGCUCCUGUAGAUGAAUUUGCAAGUUAAAUGCAUUUAGGUUACAACCAUACCAUACAAGGCACCUAAUUUUCUUCUUACAAAGAAUGACUAAUCACCUGUUAGGAGAACUUUUGAGGACUAUUAUAGUAUCAUUUUAUAUAUGUGUGUGUAAGGAGGCAAAGUAUAUGAGUGUGUAUAUAUAUUUGUCUCUUUAUUAAAGACCACUUCUGUGAUCUCAAAUGUCAUUGUCACUCUGAAUUUAGACAUUCAUGCACACAUAGGGUUGCUAGAGAAAUACAAG
rnacentral:lncRNA from 10 species